rfam:Cariama cristata contig88707, whole genome shotgun sequence.
CCAAAGGCUCUUUUAAGAGCCACCCACUUUUUCCUUUGAGAGAGCU